AGAUUGAACGCUGGCGGCAGGCCUAACACAUGCAAGUCGAGCGGGGGUAGCGAAUACCCGUAGCGGCGAACGGGUGAGGAAUGCUUGGGAAUCUGCCUGGUAGUGGGGGAUAACGUUCCGAAAGGAACGCUAAUACCGCAUACGUCCUACGGGAGAAAGGGGGGGAUCUUCGGACCUCUCGCUAUCAGAUGAGCCCAAGCGGGAUUAGCUAGUUGGUGAGGUAAAGGCUACACCAAGGCAACGAUCCCUAGCUGGUCUGAGAGGAUGAUCAGCCACACUGGAACUGAGACACGGUCCAGACUCGACGGGAGCAGCAGUGGGAAUAUGGACAAGUGGGGAAACCUGAUCCAGCCAUGCGCGUGUGUAGAAGAAGGUCCGUUGGGUUAGUAAAGCAAGUUUAAGGACGGGAAGGAAGGCGUUAGUAGGUUAAGUAGUCUGACGAAGU
rnacentral:rRNA from 1 species